CCGCCCCGGCGCGGCCUUCCGCCGAGCAGCCCGCGGGGAGAGGCGGGGCCUGGCCGGGCCGCGGAGCGCGGCCUGGGCCGCCUACGCGCUGGUGAAGUUGCUGUGCAGGCUCGGACGCGGCAAGGCAGGGCGCCGGGGGCCGCCUGGGCGCGGAACAGCCAGCCCCGCGAGGAGGGAGCUGUCCGAGGACGCGCUGGUGUCAGCUAUGAAAGCGCGGAAGUUCAAGUGCACUGCGCACACGCUGGAGCAACUGGAUUCCGGAGUUCAGAGUUGAGUGGCUGCCUCCCCUGGAAAAAAAGGGAAUUUGGCGGAAGAGACAGGAUGACAGGACCUGACUGUGAACCUCACAAGAGAGCUCUAGGAAGGGUGAGGUCAGGCCAAAGGAGGGAAGGGAUAAACUAUUGUAUUAUAUAUUAUAUUAUAUACUGUAUAUAUGUAUAUACUGUAUCAGUUGGACUUGAUGAUCUUCAAGGUCUAUUCCAACCUGAGCAAUUCUAUGAUUCUAUGAUUACCUGAACCUCGGGAAAUAUGGGGUUCCUUGAAAAACAGCUGUUUGCCUACUGGCUAGCUAAGGCUGAAAUACUCAGAGAAUGAGUAGGAUUCUGGACACAGGUAUUUGGUCUGGUCCCUAGAUAUUAUCAGUAAACACUCAUUACGCAGAGCCGCUGGGCUCAAAUGCUCUCUUGAGUGGACAUACUAAUCCUGACAUGAACUUCAGUGGAAUCCCGUGGGAGCACCAGGCUAUGGAUGAGCAUGUGGAAGGUGCUGGGGAGAGCCUAAAUCCAACUCAACCAAGACGACACCAAGUUCUUUAAGAGUACAUGUAAAAUUAAUUGAUUAAUAACUCAAUUGAUUGUUUUGCUAGUGAAAGUAGAUAACUCUGUAAGGUUUAUGAGUAAAUUAUUUUACUUUCACCAGCAGAAUUCAUGGUCCUUCUUUCCCUCAACAUAGAAGUAAGGAAAACUCAGUAGGAACUAGCAGUAAAGAAAAAAAAAAUACAAAAACUGAGAAUCAUACAGAAUCAUAGGACUGCUUGAGUUGGAAGGGACCUUAAAAAUCAACUAGUUCCAACCCCCACCCAUGGGCAGGGUUGCCACCUUGUUGUUAUAAUUGAGUAUAGACAGUGUAAAUAAAUUCUGUUUUCCCAGAGGCA
rnacentral:lncRNA from 1 species